AGGAAGGGGAUCAGUAGUAUAUCGUCUGCCAUAGUCGUAACAUUUGGUGACGCAGAUUACAAUCAUUAGAUUGAACCAUAUCAACUCAUCACUUCCCCGUUUAACCUGGAAGAAUCGUAUUAAUCAUGAAUCUUCCAUGUGCAAAGCGAGCGUCUUCCUUCUUUUGUUUUGAAAGAAUCGCCAGAUCGCUCGUGAUUGGCCCAUUGUUUAGAGGAGCCUUGGCCAACUUUUAAGGGUUCACGUCGAACUCAAUUUUUCGCAACUAUCUUUUUCCCCGUGCCAUGAUGAAAGCUACACUGACCAAUAUGGCCGGCAUCAAGAUGUUUGACGGUCACGUAGUGUUUGAAUUGCAACACGGGGCAGCUAAAAAUAAAAUGAAUACUUUAGGUAAACAACGUAUUCCAGUUUCAUUUGUCUUUCGUCACACAUUUACACGGAACCUGUAAAUUUAAGUAUCUCUAAAAAUGCGUCGUUUUAAGUCGACGAAGGAACGUUUCUCUGAAGAGAGAGGGAGGGGAUGACAAAAUUCCAACUACGCAGUUUCUUUCAAACGAAAUGCGCAUUUAGUCCAGAGUAUCCACAGUGGCACACGAAUCGCUUUUCAGUUGGCGAUUCGACUUUCUUCCAAGU